UGUGCAGGCGGUGGGGUAAGUCGGACGUGAAAGCUCCCGGCUCAACUGGGAGAGGCCGUUCGAAACUGCCGCACUGGAGGGCAGGAGAGGAGCGUGGAAUUCCGGGUGGAGUGGUGAAAUGCGUAGAGAUCCGGAGGAACACCAGUGGCGAAAGCGGCGCUCUGGACUGCUCCUGACGCUAAGACACGAAAGCUAGGGUAGCGAACG
rnacentral:rRNA from 1 species